rnacentral:rRNA from 1 species
UCCCAAGCGUUGUUCGGAUUUAUUGGGCGUAAAGGGUGCGUAGGCGGCGGGGUAAGUUGGGUGUGAAAUCCCGGGGCUCAACCUCGGAAUUGCAUUCAAUACUGCUUCGCUCGAGUACUGGAGAGGAGGUUGGAAUUUACGGUGUAGCAGUGAAAUGCGUAGAUAUCGUAAGGAAGGCCGGUGCCGACAGCGAGCCUCUGGACAGUUACUGACGCUGAUGCACGAAGGCCAGGGGAGCAAACGGG